GCAGCUCGGAGGAUGUGGAGCGUCUGCACUGCCAGGGAGGAGACCAUGGCACUGGAGUCUUUCUGUGCGCCUUGAAGGACUGUGGGGACAAAGCAGCAGAGCAGCCACAUCAGGUUUUCGAAGAGUCGGAUGGAGAGCUGCCGCACCGCGUCCGAGUCCUGAGGGAAGAGGGGAGAGGAGCUCAGCCCCAGCCCCGUGGUGAGCAGGGGCUGACAUGGAGGAUGAAGGUGUAGAGCUGAUGGAGAGCUGCUGCAGCCUCUUGGCGGGUCACCAUGUCAUUGCAGCUGCAGCAGAAGGUGAGGUGCCCCACCAGCAGCCCCAGCAUGUCAAACUGCUGUGUCUCAGAGCACUUGUGCCUGAUGGUGAUGGCUCGUGCAAAGCAGGGGCAGAGCUGGGGGAAAAGAGGCAGGGCGGGCAGAGGGUGAGCCUGGGCACACGGGGAGCCACGGCUGCUCCCAGAGCAGCAGCCCAGGGCAGGGCCGGGCUGCUGG